rnacentral:misc_RNA from 1 species
CUUCCUUUCUUUCUCUAUUAUCUCCUCAGUGAUGUUACCAUACCCAACACCUGCAGGAGUGAAACCAUCCAAAUCCAAAACAUCAUCUUCUUUUUCUAACAUUGCUUCAAAUUCAUCAGAAUCCCAAUCCAACUCUUCACCCUCUUCCAAAUUAUCCAUAUCCCCUUCACUUUCCUCAACUUUACCUUCAAUUCUAUUCUCAGACUCUUCUUCCUCAAACCCUACAAAGUCAUCUUUAAUUUCCUCUUCCUCAUCGUCUGCUACUUCAAUUUCUUCAAUGGUAACUUUUCUUUUCUGAUAAUACCCAGGAAGGUUUGGGUCUUUAUCUUGCAUGAAGAUCCCACAACCAGGGCAAAUAGGCCCAUAGUUGUCAUCAUCUUCUCUUCCCUCGCUUAAAACUAGGUCCCUACCCCCUUUCCUUGGCGCUAAUUUAGCAUGAUUUCCCUGUUUUAAUUCAACACUUGUAUGAUUCCUA